rnacentral:rRNA from 1 species
GAGCUGACUUUAGUACGAGAGGACCGAGUCGGACAAACCUCUAGUGCACCUGUUGUGGCGCCAGCUGCAUCGCAGGGUAGCUAUGUUUGGAUGAGAUAAGCGCUGAAAGCAUAUAAGCGCGAAACUCGCCCUAAGAUGAGAUUUCUUUUAAGGGUCGUUCGAGAUCAGGACGUUGAUAGGCUACAGGUGUAAAGGCAGUAAUGUCAUAGCCGAGUGAUACUAAUUACCCAUAGACCUACUGUAACCGUUUCUUUUU